AUGCACUACGAGGUGAUGGAGAUGAUGAGGACGCAAAAACGUUGGUUGGUAAGGUUUGUCCCAAAAAGGCAAUGUUAUUGCGAUUGGUAUUAAAACCAGGUUGGUCCAAUUGUGACGAAGUAGUAUUAAGCUGUCGUUGUUGAUGAUUUUGGUUGAUAUUUCCAUGGUUGACUUCCACAUCCAGGGCAUUGUUCAAAUAUGCGGGUGCUGGUGGAACUGAGACAAAUCUAGCACUCUCUUCAGCUAAAGCGUCACAGAAUGCUCUAUGUGUGAUGAAACUAUCU
rnacentral:lncRNA from 1 species